rnacentral:rRNA from 1 species
UCAAGCGACUAAGUGCAUGUGGUGGAUGCCUUGGCGAUCACAGGCGAUGAAGGACGCGGCAGUCUGCGAAAAGCCCCGGGGAGCUGACAACGAGCUUUGAUCCGGGGAUCUCCGAAUGAGGGAACUCCAAGCUUUAGCUUGAUCCAUGCGUGAAUACAUAGCGCAUGGAGGCGAACGCGGCGAACUGAAACAUCUCAGUAGCUGCAGGAAAAGAAAUCAACCGAGAUUCCGGAAGUAGCGGCGAGCGAAACCGGAACAGCCUGAAUUCGAUAUUGAGAAGAACACUGGAAGAGUCUGGAAAGGCUCGCCAUAGUGGGUGAUAGCCCCGUACGGGACGUUCAUCUCAAGGUACUGAGGAUUCGAAAAGUAGGUCGGGGCACGUGAAACCCUGGCUGAACAUGGGGGGACCAUCCUCCAAGGCUAAAUACUCGUGAUCGACCGAUAGCGUACUAGUACUGUGAAGGAAAGGUUAAAAGAACCCCGGGAGGGGAGUGAAAUAGAUUCUGAAACCGCAUGCAUACAAACAGUAGGAGCCCUUCGGGGUGACUGCGUACCUUUUGUAUAAUGGGUCAGCGACUUAUGUUAUGUGGCAAGCCUAACCGAUUAGGGGAGGCGCAGCGAAAGCGAGUCCGAACAGGGCGAUUCAGUCGCAUGGCAUAGACCCGAAACCAGAUGAGCUAACCAUGGCCAGGCUGAAGGUGUGGUAACACACACUGGAGGGCCGAACCUACUGGUGUUGCAAAACCAGAGGAUGAGCUGUGGUUAGGGGUGAAAGGCUUAACAAAUCUGGAGAUAGCUGGUUCUCCCCGAAAACUAUUGAGGUAGUGCCUUGCGCAUGAGCUUCUGGGGGUAGAGCACUGUUAUAGCUAGGGGGACAUGGCGUCUUACCAAACUAUGGCAAACUCCGAAUACCAGAAAGCUUCGCGCAGGAGACAGAGCACCGGGUGCUAACGUCCGGACUCAAAAGGGAAUCAACCCAGACCGCCAGCUAAGGUCCCUAAUAUCAGCUAAGUGGAAAACGAAGUGGAAAGGCUAAAACAGUCAGGAAGUUGGCUUAGAAGCAGCCAUCCUUCAAAGAAAGCGUAAUAGCUCACUGAUCGAGUCCUUCCGCGCGGAAGAUGUAACGGGGCUAAGUUGAUAACCGAAGCUGCGGAUUCAUACUUUGAGUAUGAGUGGUAGGGGAGCGUUCUGUAAGCCUGCGAAGGUGGAUCGUAAGGUCUGCUGGAGGUAUCAGAAGUGCGAAUGCUGACAUGAGUAACGAUAAAGCGGGUGAAAAGCCCGCUCGCCGCAAACCCAAGGUUUCCUGCUCUACGUUAAUCGGAGCAGGGUGAGUCGGUUCCUAAGGCCAGGCUGAGAAGCGUAGCUGAUGGAAAUCAGGUUAAUAUUCCUGAACCGGCGUUGAAUGCGAUGGGGUGACGGAGCAGCCAGAGUGGACCGGGUGUUGGAUGUCCCGGCUUCCGAGCGAUGGGUGCCUGCAGGCAAAUCCGCAGGCGUAUACCCAGGACGAAGGAUCGGGUCUUCUUUUGAAGACGAAGCCACUGGAAGCGCUUCCAGGAAAAACCUCUAAGCUUCAGUUCAACGGCGACCGUACCGUAAACCGACACAGGUGGGUGAGCUGAAUAUGCUCAGGCGCUUGAGAGAACUCGGGAGAAGGAACUCGGCAAAUUGACACCGUAACUUCGGAAGAAGGUGUGCCUUUGUAGCUUGACGGGAGAGAAACCCGGAGGGUGAAGAGGUCUCAGAGAAUCGGUGGCUGUAACUGUUUACUAAAAACACAGCGCUCUGCAAAGAUGAAAGUCGACGUAUAGGGCGUGAUGCCUGCCCGGUGCUGGAAGAUUAAUUGAUGGGGUGCAAGCUCCUGAUCGAAGUCCCAGUAAACGGCGGCCGUAACUAUAACGGUCCUAAGGUAGCGAAAUUCCUUGUC